GAGGGUGCAGCUCAGCCGUGGAGUGCGUGCUUGGCAUGCACAAGGUUCUGGGUUCAACCCCCAGCACCACUA
rnacentral:tRNA from 1 species